CGCUGGCGGCGUGCUUAACACAUGCAAGUCGAACGGAACUCCUUGGAUAGAGGCUUCGGCCAAUUGAAAUUGAGUUUAGUGGCGGACUGGUGAGUAACGCGUGAGGAACCUGCCUUUCAGAGGGGGACAACAGUUGGAAACGACUGCUAAUACCGCAUGACGUGUAGAGAUGGCAUCAUCACUACACCAAAGAUUUUAUCGCUGAAAGAUGGCCUCGCGUCUGAUUAGCUAGUUGGUGAGGUAACGGCCCACCAAGGCGACGAUCAGUAGCCGGACUGAGAGGUUGACCGGCCACAUUGGGACUGAGAUACGGCCCAGACUCCUACGGGAGGCAGCAGUGGGGAAUAUUGGGCAAUGGACGCAAGUCUGACCCAGCAACGCCGCGUGAAGGAAGAAGGCUUUCGGGUUGUAAACUUCUUUUAAGGGGGAAGAGUAGAAGACGGUACCCCUUGAAUAAGCCACGGCUAACUACGUG
rnacentral:rRNA from 1 species